rnacentral:rRNA from 1 species
UACAGAGGUGGCAAGCGUUGUUCGGAAUUACUGGGCGUAAAGGGCGCGUAGGCGGUUCGCUAAGUCCCGUGUGAAAUCCCUCGGCUCAACUGAGGAACUGCACGGGAAACUGACGGGCUUGAGUUCGGGAGAGGGAAGCGGAAUUCCGGGUGUAGCGGUGAAAUGCGUAGAUAUCAGGAAGAACACCGGUGGCGAAGGCGGCUCGCUGGGCCAGUUCUGACACUCAUCCGCGAAAGCGUGGGGAGCAAACAGG